rnacentral:rRNA from 1 species
CCUACGGGAGGCAGCAGUGAGGAAUAUUGGUCAAUGGACGAGAGUCUGAACCAGCCAAGUAGCGUGAAGGAUGACUGCCCUAUGGGUUGUAAACUUCUUUUAUAUGGGAAUAAAACGUUCCACGUGUGGGAUUUUGUAUGUACCAUAUGAAUAAGGAUCGGCUAACUCCGUGCCAGCAGCCGCGGUAAUACGGAGGAUCCGAGCGUUAUCCGGAUUUAUUGGGUUUAAAGGGAGCGUAGGUGGAUUGUUAAGUCAGUUGUGAAAGUUUGCGGCUCAACCGUAAAAUUGCAGUUGAAACUGGCAGUCUUGAGUACAGUAGAGGUGGGCGGAAUUCGUGGUGUAGCGGUGAAAUGCUUAGAUAUCACGAAGAACUCCGAUUGCGAAGGCAGUUCACUGGACUGCAACUGACACUGAGGCUCGAAAGUGUAGGUAUCAAACAGGAUUAGAUACCCGAGUAGUC